rnacentral:rRNA from 1 species
AGUCGAGCGAGCGGAACUAACAGAUUUACUUCGGUAAUGACGUUAGGAAAGCGAGCGGCGGAUGGGUGAGUAACACGUGGGGAACCUGCCCCAUAGUCUGGGAUACCACUUGGAAACAGGUGCUAAUACCGGAUAAGAAAGCAGAUCGCAUGAUCAGCUUUUAAAAGGCGGCGUAAGCUGUCGCUAUGGGAUGGCCCCGCGGUGCAUUAGCUAGUUGGUAAGGUAAAGGCUUACCAAGGCGAUGAUGCAUAGCCGAGUUGAGAGACUGAUCGGCCACAUUGGGACUGAGACACGGCCCAAACUCCUACGGGAGGCAGCAGUAGGGAAUCUUCCACAAUGGACGCAAGUCUGAUGGAGCAACGCCGCGUGAGUGAAGAAGGUUUUCGGAUCGUAAAGCUCUGUUGUUGGUGAAGAAGGAUAGAGGUAGUAACUGGCCUUUAUUUGACGGUAAUCAACCAGAAAGUCACGGCUAACUACGUGCCAGCAGCCGCGGUAAUACGUAGGUGGCAAGCGUUGUCCGGAUUUAUUGGGCGUAAAGCGAGCGCAGGCGGAAGAAUAAGUCUGAUGUGAAAGCCCUCGGCUUAACCGAGGAACUGCAUCGGAAACUGUUUUUCUUGAGUGCAGAAGAGGAGAGUGGAACUCCAUGUGUAGCGGUGGAAUGCGUAGAUAUAUGGAAGAACACCAGUGGCGAAGGCGGCUCUCUGGUCUGCAACUGACGCUGAGGCUCGAAAGCAUGGGUAGUGAACAGGAUUAGAUACCCUGGUAGUCCAUGCCGUANACGAUGAGUGCUAAGUGUUGGGAGGUUUCCGCCUCUCAGUGCUGCAGCUAACGCAUUAAG